rnacentral:rRNA from 1 species
UACAGAGGCCCCAAGCGUUACUGAGAAUCACUGGGUUUAAAGGGUGCGUAGGUGGCGCGUUAAGUCCGUUGUGAAAGCCCUGGGCUCAACCCAGGAACUGCUUCGGAUACUGGCGCGCUUGAGGCUAGUAGGGGUCACUGGAACUGACGGUGGAGCGGUGAAAUGCGUAGAGAUGUGGAGGAAUACCAAUGGCGAAGGCAGCCCCCUGGGAUAAUAUUGACGCUCAUGCACGAAAGCGUGGGGAGCAAACAGG